GCCUAUCCACGCCGCUUAUUGCUGAACCGGGUUUUUUUGGUUCCAUGGUUUCUUCCAAACCCUAAUCAUUUCCUCAAAAUAUUCAGCCGUUUCUCUAUCUUUCUUCUCUCCUUCGUUCUCAAUCGAGCUUCUCCUACAUCAAAGAUCUAUUUGUUUUUCUACUCUUCACCUUCAUCGCAAUCUAACAGCUAUUUGGAGGUUCGAUUUCUGUUGAUUGACUUCGAUUUAUUUCACACAAACCAAAAGCUGACCUACUUCCGCAUACCACCUCUUCAUCCUAAACUCUCUUGCACCAUCAGAUACGUAUACAAGGAUAUCAAGAGGUGAUGAAAUGACAACCUACUAAGAAUUUUUCCCCUUAUCGGGGCAGGGUAAAGGUUCCAGAAACAACUUCCCAACAACUCGACCAGAACUUCUUAGCCAGUUUCGAAACCAAAUUUCUUAAGAUUUCUUGUGAUUGUGAUGGAGACGAUUUGCUACCAAUUAGCAUAGGGGAAUAUGCAGUUGGAAAGCUUAUAAGCUCCUCUCUGGAAGAUGAGGAACCCCAAACCCUUUUCAGCUUGUGAGAAAUAUUGUUGGGAAACUUGGCUUUGAAGUAAGGAGAUGUCUUAGCAUGUAUUUGACCAGAGUUGACUAACAUUUUCAUUUUGAAAAUUCGUCAUCAGCCUUGCGAUGUAUGUACAUUUUUUUAACGUCACCUUCGUUCUUCUCUCUUAUUUUGUUAUUUCAGGUGAAACUGGUACAGAUAACAGAAACAAAACUCUCUUGCACCAUCAGAUGCUGCUACAAGGAUAUCAAGAGGUGAUGAAAUGGCAACCUACUAAGAAUUUUUUCCCUGAGCUGAUCAACACACAUAACAUUACAAGUAUCUGGAAGACAGUGGCUGAAAUAUGAUGCACAAGGGAAGAUUCUUUCAAAUGGAACUCUUCAAGUGUCUGAAUGUCACCAGAUUUCAGGGAUGGUGAAACUGUUGCGGUCAUAUAUUUUAGAGUUGGAUGCGCGCCCACAAGGUUUCACACCUCUAUGCUAAACACUUGAUUUCUUCUAGCAGAGUUUUAAUGGAGUUUGUUUCAAAGACGGAGAUCUGCCACAUGUCUCGGAUAUGGAAGUAUCGGAUUCAACGCAGUCCUGAACGCACAAAGGUCUGGAUCGAGCCUAACAAACGCCGUAGAGUCGUCGUUGUUUACCACCUCAAAGAGAGAAGAACAAAGGCACCAGAAGUGCAUUAAGUGCGCCUCGCUACAAAAACUCGCCUACGCGCAAAAAGCUCUCAAUUUUAAUAACUAUGGUUUUGGUUGUGGUUCAACAUGGAGAAAGGAACAUGUAUGACCAACAUUGGUUUACUGCAACCUUCAAGGAAAAAUAUCCUUUUGACCUUAUAAUAUAUUUCUUUAUUCUUAAUUUAAACUGCUUGACGUCAAAACAUUAUUAUUUUAAAUUACUUGAUUA